rnacentral:rRNA from 1 species
CGGUAGUAGUCAAUUUUGGAGGUACACCAGUGCGAAGGCGACUCUCUGUGCUGUAACUGACGCUGAGGCGCGAAAGCUGGGGAGCAAACAGGAUUAGAUACCCUGGUAGUCCACGCCGUAAACGAUGAGUGCUAGGUUUAGGGGUUUCGAUACCCUUGGUGCCGAAGUAACACAUUAAGCAUUCCGCCUGGGGAGUACGGUCGCAAGACUGAAACUCAAAGGAAUUGACGGGGACCCGCACAAGCAGUGGAGUAUGUGGUUUAAUUCGAAGCAACGCGAAGAACCUUACCAGGUCUUGACAUCCCUCUGACCGGUAUAGAGAUAUACCUUUCCUUCGGGACAGAGGAGACAGGUGGUGCAUGGUUGUCGUCAGCUCGUGUCGUGAGAUGUUGGGUUAAGUCCCGCAACGAGCGCAACCCUUGAUCUUAGUUGCCAGCAGGUAAGGCUGGGCACUCUAAGGUGACUGCCGGUGACAAACCGGAGGAAGGUGGGGAUGACGUCAAAUCAUCAUGCCCCUUAUGACCUGGGCUACACACGUACUACAAUGGCCAGUACAACGGGAAGCGAAGCCGCGAGGUGGAGCGAAUCCUAAAAAGCUGGUCUCAGUUCGGAUUGCAGGCUGCAACUCGCCUGCAUG